GACAAAUUUUGCCUAUAUGUCUUGACUAAAUCAUGUGCCAGCAGUCGCGGCAAUACAUGAAAGACUAGUGUUAUUCAUCUUAAUUUGGUUUAAAGGGUACCUAGACAGUCAAAUAAGCCUAUAAUAAAACAAAGGUACUAUUAGACUAGAGUUUAAUGUAAGAGGGGAGGAUAGAACAAGUAGAGUAGCGAUGAAAUGUGUUGAUUCACUUUGUAGACUGGUAAAGGCAAAAGCAACCUUUUAUGUAAAAACUGACGUUGAGGGACGAAGGCGACGAUUAACAAACAGGAUUAGAUACCCAAGUAAUGAGUGCAGUCAAUGAUGAAUGCCAUAUGUAAGAUAAUUUUUAUGUAUAAAUGAAAGUGUAAGCAUUCCACCUCAAGAGUAAAGUGGCAACGCAGGAACUGAAAUCAUUAGACCGUUUCUGAGAACAGUAGUGAAGUAUGUUGUUUAAUUUGAUGAUCCACGGAAAACCUUACCACAAUUUGAAUAUUUACAUAUUUAUAUGUUUAUACAAGCGUUGCACGGCUGUCUUCAGUUAAUGUCGUGAGACUAUGGUUAGCUCCAUUAAAUUAACGUAAACCCUUAUUUUAUUUUUUAUAAAAUAGUUCCUUAUUAUAUUGAAAAUUGAUAACA
rnacentral:rRNA from 1 species